rnacentral:misc_RNA from 1 species
GAUGAAGAACGUAGCGAAAUGCGAUAAGUAAUGUGAAUUGCAGAAUUCAGUGAAUCAUCGAGUCUUUGAACGCACAUUGCGCCCCCUGGUAUUCCGGGGGGCAUGCCUGUCCGAGCGUCAUUGCUGCCCUCAAGCACGGCUUGUGUGUUGGGCCCCCGUCCCCGGUUUCCCCCGGGGACGGGCCCGAAAGGCAGCGGCGGCACCGCGUCCGGUCCUCGAGCGUAUGGGGCUUUGUCACCCGCUCUGUAGGCCCGGCCGGCGCCAGCCGACACCCAACUUUAUUUCUAAGGUUGACCUCGGAUCAGGUAGGGAUACCCGCUGAACUUAAGCAUAUCAAUAAGGAGGA